GACGAACGCUGGCGGCACGCUUAACACAUGCAAGUCGAACGGAAAGGCCUGCUUUCCCUUGUGGAUUGCGGGUACUCGAGUGGCGAACGGGUGAGUAACACGUGAGUGAUCUGCCCCCAACUUGGGUAUAAGCCUGGGAAACUGGGUCUAAUUCCCGAUAGGACUGCAGGGUGGUGCCUGUGGUGGAAAACGAUUUUCUAGUGGUUGGGGAUGAGCUCGCGGCCUAUCAGCUUGUUGGUGGGGUAAUGGCCUACCAAGGCGGCGACGGGUAGCCGGCCUGAGAGGGUGGACGGCCACAUUGGGACUGAGAUACGGCCCAGACUCCUACGGGAGGCAGCAGUGGGGAAUAUUGCACGAUGGGCGGAAGCCUGAUGCAGCGACGCCGCGUGGGGGAUGACGGCCUUCGGGUUGUAAACUCCUUUCGACCGCGAGGAAGCCACCUGGUUGGAAGGGUGGUGACGGUAGUGGUAGAAGAAGCACCGGCUAACUACGUG
rnacentral:rRNA from 1 species